GCUAUCAAUGGCAACGGAGUUUGUGCUUCUAAUUCAGGUCUUUCAUAUCACUCUGCUUCGUUGAAAGUGAAAGUCAGCUAGUAAGUUCUAUCUGUGUAGCGAACUAUUUAUUUGGUUAGCGGAAGCCACAAAACGGUAGCUAAGUCAUUGCUUAACAUAUUGUGGUAAGUUUCUUUUCUCCUUUUGGCAAUUAGCCGUAUAAUAAGCAGGAUAAUGUAUAGAACACAGGUCAUUAUCAGGAAAAAAAGUACCUUUGUUUGGGCGAAACAAGACCCCACCGCUUUGUCUCGGGGUCCGGUUCGCCCUGUCGGUACUUAUUUUCCCGAUAGCACUUUACAUUACGGCUCGCUAAUAAGGUGGUAAUUGUAUGGUAAUUUCUAUGUAAUUUCAUCAUAGUCCACCCCAGCUCCCCAAACCAUUGCAUUCGAAAUGCUGGAUUCUUUCUUUUGCACUUUCUCUUACCUGGAUUUAUUGUUAUUUCACUGAGUGAUAUAGAUGUUCAAUGAUGAGGAUCUAUGUAGGUGAGUCUUUAAAGCAGUGUGUGCACUUCAGGGCAGAAUAAUCCCUGCACCAUUGCAGGGGGGCUGGGUAGUCCACCCCAGCUCCCCAAACCAUUGACACAUGUGAAUACCUGGAUUACUCUUUCAGAUCCUUGACACUCGGAUUUUUGAUUGUUUACACUUACUGAAGGAGGUCCAUGUUCAAGCAUAAAUGGAUAUUAUAUUUCCAAUGGCUGUAUAUUUGAGGCAGUCAGUGUACUUCAGGGCAGAAUAAUCCCUGCGCAGCUGGAGGGGAUCUGGGUAGUCCACCCCAGCCCCCCAAAAGACAGAAACCCUCUCAGAAUCACAAUGUGGAAGUGUUGGCCUUCCAACCCUGCUGGAGAUAAGAAGCUAUUGAUAAAGAUCCACCUGCUAGAGGCAUGAGACACAGACGGCCUUACAGCAGCAGUAAGGAUUUCUCCACUGUGAAUCUGCAUGCUGCUGACCAUCCUGAGCUUUACUGUCCGAAUGAAUCUUCCUCGUCAUCCAGGACUCCUCUACUGAGAAUCUCCAUGCUGCUGUGGAUAGAGGCUGUAGACCAUCACCGUGAACACCAUCAGCUUCAGUGAGGAGCUACUGGUGCAGAUCCAUCACUGGCUGCAGAAGGGCUUUCACCACAGCUUCAUGGAUGGAGCUGCCUUUCACACAUGGGAGUACAAAAUGACAGUAGGCCCUAGUUGGAUUUAUUGAGCAACAGGUGCAUUCUGGGGCAGAAUAAUCCCCGCACCAUUGCAGGGGGGCUGGGUAGUCCACCCCAGCUCCCCAAACCAUUGCAUCCAAAAUGCUGGAUUAUUUCUUUUGCACUUUCUCAUACCUGGAAACUGUAUAUUGUUAUUUCAUUGAGGAAUAUACAUUUUCAAGGAUGAGGAUCUAUGUAGGUGAGUCUGUAAAGCAGUGUGUGCACUUCAGGGCAGAAUAAUCCCUGCACCAUUGCAGGGGGGCUGGGUAGUCCACCCCAGCUCCCCAAAAUAUUGACACAUCUGAAGCACUGGAUUACUCUUUCAGCUCCUUGACACUUGGAUUUUGGAUUAUUUACAUUUACUGAGGGGGAGGUCCAUGGAUAUUGUAUUUAUGUGGAUAUAUUUUCGAGGCAGUGUGUGCCCUUCAGGGCAGAAUAAUCCCUGCACCACUGUAGGGGGGGCUGGGUAGUCCACCCCAGCUCCCCAAAUCUAUACAUUUAAAACACUGGAUUAUUGCUUUUUCAUGUUAUGAUAUCUUGAUUUUUGUCAUUUAUCAAUAUUCUUUGAAGAUAUAAACUGCUUGAAUCUGUGAUGCAAUGUGUGCGCAACAGGGCAGAAUAAUCCCUGCACCAUUGCAGGGGGGCUGGGUAGUCCACCCCAGCUCCCCAAACCAUUGCAUUCAAAAUGCUGGAUUAUUCAUUUUGCACUUUCUUUUACCUGGAUGUAUUGUUAUUUCACUGAGUGAAAUAAAUGCUCAAGGAUGAGGAUCUAUGUAGGUGAGUCUGUAAAGCAGUGUGUGCACUUCAGGGCAGAAUAAUCCCUGCACCAUUGCAGGGGGGCUGGGUAGUCCACCCCAGCUCCCCACCCUAUCAUAAUUCCAAGGAUUUACUCUCAUUCACGAUUGGGAGAUUGACCUUCUAUUAUUGCUAAAAAAUAAAUUCACUUGUUGAACCUA